rnacentral:sRNA from 1 species
UUCAGCUAUUACAUUAUUAAAAUAGUAUAAACGGUAAUCUUAUAUAUACAGUAGACUUUUUGGCCAAAAAUCUCUAUACUAUUUCAUCCCUACACAGUUUACCUUUCAUAUGGUUCUUCCAGAGUCACACAGAUGCAACUCAUUAAAAAAACAUAAGGUACUUGGAGAUCAACUGAAGAUAACAAAUGAGCUCACACCAGAUAGUUCAAGAGAUUCACAUGCAUAAGGCGGAUAGUAGCAAUGCAGAUCAACUGGAGAUAACGAAUGAGCUCACACCAGAAGAAGCGAGAAGCUAUGCGAUAUCCCAAUUGCCUCGGGAAAUCUCAAAGCACAUUCGUUUUGCCUUCGACUCACCUGGUUAUGAACCGUUCUUUGCUUCUCAACUGGGUAUAUACGCACCACA